rnacentral:rRNA from 1 species
UCGGGAAUAUUGCGCAAUGGAGGAAACUCUGACGCAGUGACGCCGCGUAUAGGAAGAAGGUUUUCGGAUUGUAAACUAUUGUCGUUAGGGAAGAUACAAGACAGUACCUAAGGAGGAAGCUCCGGCUAACUACGUGCCAGCAGCCGCGGUAAUACGGAGGAUGCGAGCGUUAUCCGGAUUUAUUGGGUUUAAAGGGUGCGCAGGCGGCGCGCCAAGUCAGCGGUCAAAGUUCCGGGCUCAACCCGGUGUCGCCGUUGAAACUGGCGUGCUCGAGUGCGUGCGAGGAAGGCGGAAUGCGUUGUGUAGCGGUGAAAUGCAUAGAUAUGACGCAGAACUCCGAUUGCGAAGGCAGCUUUCCAGCGCGCUACUGACGCUGAGGCACGAAAGCGUGGGGAUCGAACAGGAUUAGAUACCCUGGUAGU